AUUUAAACAUAGUUAGAAAAUGUUUAAGAUAACAUGGUAUAGAAAAAUGUCAGUUAAGUAACGUCAUUGUGUAUUAAAAUUCAGAGGCUACCUUGAAUUCUUCAUUUUGUUUUCAAUAUUUAUUUUCGUUUAAAAGAUGUAUAGAUUAAUAUUAUUUUUAUUUGUGGUUAAAGUUAUGGGACAAUAUGAAAAUGUUCCAUUCAAUGAACAUGAAGGAUGUACUCCUUGUUGCCCAGAUUCUACUUGCCAAAACAAGCAAACCAAACAAUGUGAUUAUGAGGAUUGUCCUAUAGAAUGUAUUCCAGUAUAUAGAUGUGAUGAGGGAUUUUUGAGAGAUGAAAUAAGUCAAAUGUGUGUUCUUCCUAGAGACUGUCCUAACUAUAAUGUGAAGACAUUAACAGAAGGAGAUAUUUGAAAUUAUGACUUUUUAAGUACAAUAUAUGUGUAUUAAAGUUCGAAUUUUAGGUAAAGUGAGGAAUAGUGAAAAUUUUUUCUACAUUUAAACAUACCCAUAGUGUAAAGUGAAGUUCCAACAACCAUUUAAAAUUUAAACAUAAUGACCAGUUUGUAAUUUUUAAACGUUUAGAUGGUACAUAAGAAUCAGUGAUACAUAUGUAAAUAAAACAAAACUAGAAAUCUAAAUUCUGAAACAGCAUAAAAAAUCCACAUAAUACCACAAUCACUUGAUCACAUCAAAUCUCAUAUAAAACAAUCAACAAAUGCUCUCUGCACUAUGUCGUUCUUUGUAUCCGAUCGAAUUAAUUCUAUACUCAUGAGCUGGCCUGCACUGGUCCAUUUCAAUACAGUUCCACCGCAGCAACCAAGAGCAAACCUAAUAAACUGCUACUAUUAAAAUAAAGUUUUAGGUUAGAAUAGAAUUAUUUGCGUUUAAUUGACAGCACAAGCACAGAACUAGGAACUAUUUUGUCAAAAUACGCUAAUAUAUCGGUGUUUCCGUAUCAGAGGCUCAUGUUACAAAUUUGUGAGCGGAGGGAUACAAGAGAAUCUAAAAAAUUCCAUAUCGUGAAGCAUAGUGUGGAUACUAUUCGUAUAUUCUUCGCGGCUCCUUCGCCAAAAAUUGUUUUUUUUGUCCCGCGAUAAAGGGCACGCAGGCGCGAACACGACAAUACUUUACGGAUUGCUCAGUCGUUCAGUAGAAUUUGCCAUGGGUGGUCGUGUUUUCGAUACCACGAUUUUGCAUACAAAAUGAGUACCGUGUGGAAUAACUAAUUAAAACUCUCACUUAUUGCAUGUUUUCGUGCUUGAAACAGUGCGAUGCUUGGAUGCGGAUAAGUACUGUAAUAGAAAUACCAAUAAAUGAAUUGAGAAAGAAAAAAGAUUCGCUCGUUUCAAGUUAUAGGAGCUACAAAGGAAAAAUUAAGAAGUCUAUAAACUUUAGAAAACUUCAAGACGUACAAAUAAACAGUUGCCUACCUUUAUCAUAAUAUAAAUGAAAAUCAAAAUUAAUUUAGUUCUGUAGCAGCUGUAAACACAUUGGAGAAGGUUAUAGUAUAACAUUUUAGCGCUAGAUUUAUCAACCAUUCAAAUAGAACUUUUAACUGACUAGUCUCACUGUUACCCACGCUCCCUUUAUUGUAAAUUCCUCCCGUAAAUAUUUGAAACAAUUUACGGUUAUUUAUCAAGGUUAAACUCAUAUUUUGAAAAUAAAAAGCCAUAAGGGUAUUAAGGAACAAAACAAAAAGUUAACCAUUGUUAUAAUCUUUAAUUUCUUACACAUUUUAGGAAAUUUUUACAUUACAAUUACCAAAAUAAAAUAAACUUUACUCUCAUUUCUUCUAUAAUAUUUUGUUUAACAGCUAAAAACACGUAAAUACAUGGAUUUAAGAAUAAAAUGAAGAUAAGCAGGGUUAUAAAAUUAAAAUAGAUUUUUAUCAAUAUAUAUAUUUAAUCAUUUAGUUCUAGUAUCACUACUAAAUUUUUUAGGAAUUUAUUUUAUAUUUUUCUCACUAUCAACAAACAAUUCCGAAAAAAAUUGAGUACAAAUUAGUGGAAUGUGAAAAGAAAGUUACAAACUUGGUAAAACUGGUCUUCGGAUUGGACAACAAUGAUUUCUUCUCGAAUCACAAUGUAUACUGUGUGUUUCAAUAAGUUUUGAUUAUAAAUUAAAUGAUUAUAAGUGUUAAGAAUAA